AUCAGCCUGUGAUACUGCUGGGGUGUGAUGAAGGCCCAGGUGGCUUUGAUACCAGCCUUCAGCUCAUCUGUAUUGUUGAGUCUGUUGUCUCUCAUCUUCCU